rnacentral:rRNA from 1 species
CAGUCUGCAACUCGACUGCACGAAGCUGGAAUCGCUAGUAAUCGCGGAUCAGCACGCCGCGGUGAAUACGUUCCCGGGCCUUNUACACACCGCCCGUCACACCAUGGAAGUCUGCAAUGCCCGAAGCCGGUGGCCUAACCACUUAUGUGGAAGGAGCCGUCUAAGGCAGGGCAGAUGACUGGGGUGAAGUCGUAACAAGGUAAC